rnacentral:ncRNA from 1 species
UACCUGGUUGUUCCUGUCAAUAGCAUAUGGUUGGCUCAAAGAUUAAGCCAGGUAUGUCUAAGUACACAUGGCCAGUACCCUGAAACUGUGAAUGGCUCAUUAAAUCAGUUACGGUUCCUUCGGUCACUGUACCCAUUACCUGGAGAACGGUGGUAAUUCCAGACAUGCCAAUGAGCUCUGACCUCAGGUGACGUAUGCAUUUAUCAGACCAAAACCAACCCACUCAUCUGCUUUCGUGAUUCUAGAUAAGCCUGGGCUACGCACACGACCCUGUGCUGAGAUGGUGCAACAAUGUCUGUCCUACCAACUUUUGAUGGUAUUUCAUGUAGCUAAGAUGGUGACCACGGGUAACAGGACAUCAGGGUUCAAUUCCAGAGACAGAGCCUGGGAAACAGCUACCGCAUCUGAGGAAGGCAGCAGGCAUCCACAUUACCCACUCUCAAGCUGGGGAGGUAGUUAUUGAAAAAUAGCAGUACGGGACUCUUUUGAGGCCCGGCGAUUGGAAUGAGUGCACUUUAAAGCCUUUAACGAGAUUCCACUGGAGCGUAAGUCUGGUGCCAGCAGCUGUGGUAAUUCCAGCUCAAACAGGGUACAUUGAAAUUGCUGCAAUUAAAAAGCUUGUCGUUGGAUAUUGGCAUAGGCAUCAAGUUCCUCUCUACCCAGGGGUGCUCGACACCCCCCACCCAAAGCCUGCCCCCACUUCACUCCUUCUUCCAAGCUCCCACCCCUGCCUGCCACUUCCU